rnacentral:tRNA from 1 species
GCCAGGGUAGCUCAGUUGGUAGAGCGCAUGUCUGAAAAACAUGAGGUCACGGGAUCGUCCCCCGUCCCUGGCACCA